UCCAGUACAUAGGAGGCACGCCCGAGCACGCAGUUCCUCCCCUGCACGCUACCGCAGGUCUCCACUUCGCAGCACGUCUCCCCCCCAUCCCCGUGCACCCAGGGGCCCUGCCACCAGGGGUCUCAGAGGACCUCGUAGAGCAGCAGGCCCCAAGAAGUCCUUCCCUUAUGCAGGGAGCCCAUGUGAGGGAUGCAGGUUUCCAGCAGCCAACAGUGGCUUCCAGGCUGAGAGUGGGUCAGUACCCACAGAAGGAGGCCUCUGUGCCCUGGAUACCCACGUCACCUCACUCUCCUCCUAUACAACAACAACAGUGAAGAGACCAGAGCCUCGAUGUCUCUUCUCCCCUCUGAAGCCCUCCUCAGGCACCUCAGAGCAGCAGCUGAGUGGUGUGGUGACAGCAGAGCAGGACUAUUGUCUGACCUGUGAUAGACAGAGACAUGCCCACAACGAAGCCCUCACAUGGGAGCUGCUGCCUCUCAGACCCGGGACAGAAAGGCCACAUCGUCACUGAGGCAUCGGCUGUCUGAGCAGGCUACAGACAGAGCUGCAGAGUGCACUGAGGUGCUGAGUGAGGCCCUGCUAGAGAAGCUGCUGGCUGAUGCAGUGCUGGCCACCUGGGUGGCGGAGACAGACAGAUGGAGGGUUUGGCCCAGCGCCAGCUCCAGGCCCCCACCCUGGAGAGCAUGCUGCUACGCAUGGAGGAGAUGGAGGUGAGCCCUGAGCAUGGCCCUAAGGAAAGACCACCACACAAAGGUCACAGGGAGUUUGAAAGGGCACCGCUAGUUAGUUUGUCAUGCAAGGCCUGUGUGAUGUUUGACAGCCUUGGUCAAGCUGUACUAUGGGGAUACAGUGAAUACACUGUCCAGUCCUGUCCGGAUUUGUAUUAUUGUUUGGCUGAAAAAUGUAUUUAAAUAAUAUACUUAUUUUAUCAUCUAUGUGUCUGAGCAGAAAGACCAGGAAGUUGUGAGGAGGCACUUUUCUACCAUCACGUACUCAGACCCUCACUACUGGGACAAAGGGGACACAACUGGGGAGUAAACAGGCAGUUUACAUGAGGGUUUGAAUUGUUGUUCCUCUGGUGCACUGCAGGUGGAGGUAUUGUCUUAGUGCUGUUUCAGCCAGUUGAGAGCAAGGCUAUCCCUCUUCCUAACUCUCCUUUUCCACCCCUCUUUCUCCCAUCCCCAUCUCUCUCUCAAGGCCCUAGAGGCCUGCUCCAGGCCAGUCUCUCCUCAGCCCGUCAGGAUUACCGGGCCAACACUGAGACACACCACCACGUCUGACAUUGUCCUGGAGAGCCCUGUGGAGACCGGGUGUUUUUUCAUCUGGUGUUGCCAAAGCGCUCUUUUCUCUGAAUAAUCCUAUGCACAGAAUUCAAUAGAACAUUGUGUAUUGUUACAGUAUCUGUAUAUUAAUAUGUUUGUUUUGUAGUAAUCACCAUGCAAUACUGCAGCCACCAUCUUAGAGAAAGCUUCAAGCCCUGUCUGAGUUUAAUGGGUUGAUGUAUGGACAGAUGGUUUGAGAAACAGAUAUAUAUUAAUAAGGAAUAAAUUACAUUAUAUACUGGGUGGUUCUAGCCCUGAAUGCUGAUUUGUCUGACAGCCGUGGUAUAUCAGACCAUACACCACGGGUAUGACAAAUAAUUUAUUUUUACGGCUGUAAUUACAUUGGUAACCACUAUAAUAGCAAUAAGGCACCUCAGGGGUUUGUGGUAUAUGGCCAAUAUACCAUGGCCAAGGGCUGUAUCCAGGCACUCUGCGUUGCGUCAUGCAUAGCCCUUAGCAGUGGUAUAUUGGCCAUAUACCAUUAUUGCUUAAUUAUACAUUUAUAAUUUGUUGAUGUUGCAGAUUGUAGUUAAUGGUUAUGAGAUGCUAUACUGGGUGAUGGGACUUCUGCAGUCUCCUCUAAAUGGGAAUUAAUUACAGAGGGUAAUGGUGUAUGACAUCACUUAACCUGCUGUAUUAGAUGUACCUUAUCAGGCAGGAACUCAUAAAGGACAAUAUAACGAGACAAAACUGAUGCAGAACAUUGAUCCCCUAAAUUUAAGACUGUGAGAAAGUGCCCAACAAAAUCACUGUCCCAAAAACUGUCAAUUACUUUAUUUUGCAGUUGACGUCCACUCCAGACGAUCAACAAAACGGAUAGAGGUGGAACGUUGUUUAUGCCUUUCCCAGAAUGCACUGCUUUGUUGUGCCUCAAUUCUGGCUGUUCUUCUCCACCCCUAAUCUCUCCAGGCUGCGAUGAGACCAAACCUAACCCCCUUCAAACCCUAACCCCCCCCACCUCACCCUCUGGCAAGACAUAAAGGGAGUGCAUCAGUGUGCCUCUGCCUCCCUCCCCUGCCCAGAGGUUUAGCUGUAGCUGCCAUUGCUUGAAGAAGAAGGAGGGGAGAGAAAUGAGAGCCAACGGCUGACAGGGGAAGUAAGUUGUUGAGAGUGGAGCAGAGCGGACAUGCCAGCAUGAUGCAGUGAAAACAUAUUCAAGCAGCUGCACCAUUAGCAUAUUAAAGACAGUGUAGUUCACUGUUCCUGGACCUUCUGGAGGGGCUCAGACCAACUCUUCUGUGACUCAUCUCUCACUCUGUCCGUUUGCUUUUACCUAUCCACCUGUAACCUAUUUCUGUCUCUAAAGACCAGCAGAAACUACAACCACUAGCUCUUUGCUGUCUAUUUUGUGGGUUGGGAGGAAGAUGUGGUCAACCCAAAUUCCAUUCAUAGCGCAGGUUAUGACUUUGCCUAGUUAUUUCAUAUGGUUUAUGAGUAAAACAACACUAGCAGAACUAACUGACCAUGGCUUUCUUGAUUCUGCAUUGGUAUUGAUUGGCCAGAUAGCUUUACUUCUACCCCUGUGUUGUAGAUACUAGCUACCUGUAUCCUCCUGCCUCUAUGAAGAGAGCAUUAGACUCACCCAGGAAAGUCUGCCUCUGUGUCUUCCUCCCUCUCACAGCCCAGUGAAUUACACAGUCCAAUGGGACUUCUCACCCCUGUCUGACUGGCAGGUAAUUUCAUUGGUGUGUUAGACAAGGAAAAUGAAAAUGGCCUGAGCCUCUGACAGGAUUCCGAUAAAAAGACUAGCAGAGUGCGUCAUGAAAAUUCUCUCCCUUGUAUUUCCCUUGCUUUGCCCCCAGUAGCUGUAUAAAUGAGAUAAUGUGUAACUAACUGUCUGACCGAAUAUGAAGCCAGGUAUUUUUUUGUAUCGAUGAGUGCACUCGUGUGAAAGCACAACACAAUGAUUGUAUGUUGUGUCCCUGAGAAUGCCGGGCAAGUUUUCAUCGCAUUCUCUCUCAUUUGCAAAGCAAUAGGGAUUGAUUCUAAAUUCCACAUGGAUAUUGUCUCAUCCCCUACAAGCACACAGAGCAUGUUCAGGAGUUCUUCCCUCCAGUCUUUCUAUUAUCCUUGAUUACGUGGAGAAAAUUAGUCAGCCAAACACUCAGGGCUGAAAAUGAUAGAUUUUUGUGUGCCAACACACAGGGAGUAUUUUCUUCCCAGUAUGUUUCCCUAAAGGCCUGUGUUCUGAGCGCUAAGCUUCAAAGGGUUGACAAAGAUACAGGUGCCAAUAGAGAUUGAUUCCAUACUAAACCAGGACAAAAAAAGACUAUGAUUUGGGGAAUUUUCACUAAAUGUAAUCCAUCGAAUGGUCCUUUGGAUGAAAGAUUGUUUACAUGUAUUUGACAUUUGUAUUUAAAAGCAUAGUUGAGAAAUAAUAAAUUUUGGCCUUACCUUUAAGACUCCACAAUGCAGCAGUCACCAACCCAGGCCUUACCUUUAAGACUCCAUAAAGCAGUGGUCACCAACCUUUUCCUCGCAGUCAAAUAGCAAGCCAAAAUCUACCGCUCAGAUUUGUUUUUGUUGGUGUAGCACUUUCAAGGCACAGCUGAGUAUAAAUUGAAAUAAUUAGCAAAUAAUUUGCUAUUUUAUUUUUUAUUUUACAUGGUGCUUUCAAGACAACUGGGAAAUCAGGAAAAAACGAGGUCAAAUCAUGACAUCAGUGAUCUUCCAGUCGUAAAGUCGGAACUCUAGAAAGAUGUCCAAGUUUUCUACUUGGAAUUCUCGUUUUUCCCUGAGUUUCCAGUUGUUUUAAACGCACUGAAGUUGGAAGUCUGAGAUUUCCGAGUUCCCAGUGGUUUUGAACGCGGCAUUAGUCUCAGCGGAGGGAGGGAGAGAGCAGCAGAGGGUUCAUCUCACGGUCCCUGUUCUCUUCUUUCUUUCCUCCGGUAGGAGACUGACCAGAGAGAGGGGACAUGUCUUCCACCUGAUGACUAAAUUAAAGUCAAACCGCAUCUGCGUCGUGCACAAAUUCAUGUUCCUAUGAUCAGAGAAAGUUAAAUAUUCCUUUAUAUUAAAAUAGACACGAUGAACUGCUAAUAAUAAUACAAACGCAUGGCUAUCCAUAUACUGUAUUUAGAUACUCAUGUAUUGCAGCUGAAGCUCGAGUGGAAGUAGGGAGUAGAUCGUUUAAUGUUUUGUAAUAGUGCAAAAUAAAAACGAACAUGAACUCGCUCAUAAAAACAGAAGCUCUUUGUUGUCUCUGCUCAUGGUUUUGAAAGUUGUGAAAUCUCACAUAGGCUAGUAUCAAAUUUUACGUGGCCGGGGUUGUGGAAGCUGUAGUGAUUUGAGCUAUCAAAUUAGCCAGCGCAGUAGGCGCACUCGAUUUAGCGACAGAUCUCCCAGUUUAGCCUCAGCUCUCUCUCGGCGGAGUUUGUCUUUUCAGACAAAUUAAAUGGUUCAAAAUGGGAACACUUUACCUACCCGGUGCACAGGGCUUCUGAAUCAAGUGCACCUACUGCAAAACAGCGCAACAUGAAUAAUAUUAAAAAGGGAGUGCAAGCCUUUAUCGUUGGCUGUUCUACAGAAAUGUUUGGUGAUCGACUAGACGGCCUUGAAGAUCAAUCAGUCGAUCGACCGGUUGGUGACCACUGCCAUUUAAUCUGUAGGUGUUUAGAGCAAAAAUGGGUGUUUUAUGAAGCUUUACUGCUUGCUCUGUGUGUCACAACGCCUGGAGUGGUGGGUGUGGAGUCAAACGCAGAGGAUACUGAGCAAACCGGACUUUAUUUCGUUUUCCAAUGCUAACGCCCAAAACAACAGGCGAAAUAAUCACAAAAAUGUCCAACCCAACACAGGGCACAAACGGACAAGAACUACACGCACAACCUCGACUAACAGAAAACAAGCUCGCACAAAAACAGGCGGGCCUAACAGGCUUAAAUAGUCCUGAAUAAAAAACAAAAUAAGAGACAGGUGCAGCCAAUAAGACAAAACAAACAGAAAAGGUAAACGGCAUCGGUGGCAGCUUGUAGACCGGCGACGAGGACCGCCGUCCGAACAGGCAGGCGAGCCACCUUCGGUGGGAGUCGUGACACUGUGAUAUGAGUAGUAUUUUAGUUUCAAUACACUUUUUUUUACAUUCAUGUAUGAAUAUUGAAAACUAUAAACAUGAAUAUUGGGAAAACCUUUUAUUUUUUUUAUUGUUGCAAAUGUUUCUGCUGGUGAUUAGCAGGAUGUGCAAUGAUACAAGUAAAAGGAGGGCUGUAAUUGGUUACAUUACUAUGCCAAUUUUGCUGUAUAAAAUUGUCCAUAACUUUAAAUCUACCAGAGAUCCCACUCUGGAACUUUGAGAUGCCCGUAGAGUAUAUUAUGUUCAACGAUAUAUUGAAAGAUAAGCCAAAUAUUUGUUAUUAUUUUUCAAAACUCAUGUUUUUAUUUGUGAAUAUUCAUACAUUAUUGUAAACAAUGUUUUUUUUUUUACUGAAAUCAAGUACUACAGAGCAGCGGUAAAGCUUCAUAUGACGCCAAGUCAUAUGGAGUCUUAAAGGAGCCUGGGUAAGGCCAAAAUCUAAUAAAUAUGCCAACUUUGAAUCAUUCUUUCCCAAUUAAAUCAGAUGUGUAGUGCUAGGGCAAAAACUCCAGGCCCAAGUUUGGGAAAACCUGCUCUAAAGGACCAUUAUAUGGAUACAAUUUUGUGAAAAUCCCCAAAAUCAUGGUAUUUUUUGGUUCUGGUUUCAUAUGGAAUCACUCUAGAGUGGUUUGUGUGUCUGGCUCACUGAUUCUUCUCUUGGUGAGAUAGUGUUUGUCUUGGGACAUCUUGACAUAUCAAAGAUACACAAUUAUAUUUCUACAUUUUUAUCCUCAUGUGCCACAUCUAGGCAGAAAUGGUUGCUGAGUGCACAUCUCUAGUACUGCACUGCCAGCACUAAAAUGCAUAUUUCUCUGGAGGGUCCUCUGUCAGCCCUCGUAGUCCUGUUGUCGUUUUUCAUCAAGAUCACAUCCGUUCUUUAUAUGUCAGAAGUGUUGUUCAGAGCGGAGGUGAUUAUUAUUCCGUCUCAAGUGAAGCCCUUCUGAUAACAAGAGCACACUAUUGCCUGUUGGAUGGCUCAUAUAGGAAUGACAUUUCUCAGAUUGCUUUCUGUCUGUCUGCAACCAGCCCUCCCUCCUCAGAUCAGAAGAGAUGAACAGGAGCACAGGCUAAUUCUAUUACCAAAGUGUAGCUCCUAGCUUCAAAAUGAAGAUUAUUCCCAUAUGUCUGGUGUUGUAUUCUCAUUUAUUUUUUAUUACAUUCCCAACUCCAGGAAGUAGAGCCACUGAAAUGUUAUAGGUUGAAAUAUAGCCUAUCCAUCAUAUUAUAAUGGCCACUUCGAUGCCAGGCAAUACACAAUCAAUAGUGAAAGGAAAUAAUGGACCAGAUGAUGGUACGUAACUAAAUGAUGUACUGCCUCAUCAAAGUUAUCUGUAGCUCUGUGGUGCUUUGUCUCUGGUUGUCCUUAUGCUUCUCCACAUGUCAUUCAUUCAUUUGGCCAGGUCUCCCUUGUAAAAGAGGUCUUCUGACCUCAAUGGGACUUCCUUGAUUAAAAAAAUACUGAGGUGGAGCUCUGGGCCGUAGUAUAACACAGUGCAAAGAGCUAUAGGCUAGUUAUAGACACAGUUAUGCUCAAUUACUACUCAUGCAUACUUAUUGUGAUAAAGUUCAAACUCCAUCAGGUUUCUGCGUAAGAGAUUGUUAGUGGAAAAGUGGUAAACUGAUGAUAAAUCUAGAGAGAGGGAGAGAGUUAUUGCUAUCAUUAGGUUAAUGAAAUUAUGUUCUCACUCUUUUUAUAGGGCAAUUCACCACAGGAAGAUUUACAGUGUGUUUAAAGCGCUUGGAAGAAAUCCCAUUUAGAAUGUCAGACAGUCACUAGAGGGGGCUAGUUAUUCUAUAAGGCCUGAAUGGAAAGUGAUAGCUAAUCCGUGUGUGUGUGUGUGUGGACAGUUGUUGUUGUAGGGUAGAAUGUAUGAAAACAGUGAUUAAUGCUGUGGGUUUGGGAAGCGGAGAGUGGGCACAGCUGCCUAUUAGUGUGCAGAGCUCAAUAUGUUGUGUGUGUUGUCUAAGCUUGUGAUUACCUGUGUUUACAACCAACAAUGCUCAGCACAGGGAGAGGGAGUCAGCAGGCCCUUCCACUGCAGACAACACAAACACACACCAGGGAUUGGCUGCAUAGCCAUAUCUCAUAGCUUAUGAAAGUAAUGCACACAUCAUUCAGUAUGCCAAUCACUCACGCACAAAAGGCAUAUUUCACUCAAAUGUUGUGCACAAAUUUGUUAACAUCGCUGUCAGUGAGCAUUUCUCCUUUGCCAAGAUAAUCCAUCCACCUGACAGGUGUGGCAUAUCAA